ACUAUCUGGUGUAUCUAUAGGGAGGAGCCUCUGGGGGAGAAGGGAGGUCCAGCCCCAGGGCAAAAAAGUUCAGGAUUUGGGGCUGGGGAUUUCAGGUAGUGACUGAGGGAUGCUGGGAGAAACUGGAGGUCAGUUCUAAUAUGCACCUCAGUUCCACAUCCCUGAGUCUAAAACCAAACGCUUGGGAAACUGUAACCUCUGCUCUAAGUAUGCUUUCCGUGACACCGCCCUUGUUUACUUGGUCUCUACACAGCUGCACCCCCCGGCCCCUGCGUGUGGACCCAAAUUGUAGACAAAUCCAUUUUUCCACUUUAUGUGUUUUACUGUUUUCUCUUGAUAAGAGGCUGAGCGGCUGGAAUCAAAGGCAGGCCUUUUCUGCCUGGGGAUCCAGUAGCACAGAGGAGGGAAGACUGCAGGAACUUGAGGUCAUUCUUCAAGGACUCCUGAAAUGCUUUCAUAAGGAGACCUGGCAGAGCAACACAGGAUGGAGCACGCCUUGAAUCACAGUCCUCAGGAUACAGAUGCAAGUGGAUCUCUGAGUCCCAGGCUGGCCCGGUCCACACAGAGAAACCCUGUCUUGGGGACAAAACCAAACCAAACCAAACCAAACAAACAAAACAACAUGAAGGCUUGGAUUUCAGGGGACCCUAACCAGUUUAGCUUCGUGACCACCAAAGACUGGGAAAAUCUAGCUGGCCACACCUGUUCUUUCUAACAAGCAGUCAGAAGCUGGCUGCGUCAGCACAGCGCAGCUGAGCCCCUGCGCUUAGUGGGGUCUUUAAGGGACCCACUGCCCAGGCUCCACUCACCUGCCAACUACUGUCUGCUGCUGCUGCCUCCAUCCCAGAGCUGCACCAUCUGGUACAAUGUUCUUAUCCAAGUGCAGGGUCCACUUGGCCCCGGGCUUCUCCUCCCGGAUCAGUUCUUGAAAUCUCUGCUCCCAAGUACUGAAGUCAUCGGAGAACAGCAUUCUCAGAGGUGAAAGCUAAGACCCUGGUUAGUAGGCAGCUCUCUGUCUUCUUCCUCAAUUCUGGGAGAGAGAGAGAACAAAGAACAGUUUCAGUUUCCCAGUUCUUUCAGUUUCCUUUUCCCCUCUUUCUAAGUUUCGGUUUCCAGAGUGCAGGAACCCUUGAGGCUUGCCACUGUGUUAAAGGGCCGUGCUGAAAUUGCCGAGUUCCGGUUUGCAUUCUAGUGGCUCGUGGAUGUGGACCUUUUCAUUUUGUCUUCACAUAAUUUUUAUUGUAAACAAAGCAUCAGUGUGGAGAUUGAAAUCGAGUGCCCAGUGACUGAGAAACGGUGCCUGCCCCAGUAGAUGCUAGUGACCUGGUGGAUGGAGAUCAGAGAAUUGUAGGAGGCUGUGUUCCCAAUCACCUGGUGACCUUUAAGAAAUCCGCAGUGCAAUCUACCAGCAGGGGAAUGUUCCUGGUGUUAAAACACAACAAAUUAAAUAUGAGUAUUUUCUUUGAAAAAACGUGUUUCUUGUGUUCGCAACAAAUAAUCCAACUCCUUUUAUCUCCUGCACAUUGGCUGCAAAUAUAUUAACACCUUCCCACCCACUAAAGCCUUUUAUACAAAGGCCCUGCUCCAUUCUGGGAGCUUAAGUGAAUGAAGUGGCUGACCCCAUUCUCAUUGUCUUUCUUCCUUCCCAAAUGUUCUUUUUACACCAGCUAUUAUUUUUUUUAAAUUAAUUAAUUUAUUUUAUUACAUCUCAAAUGCUGCCCCCACUCAGGACUCCCUCAUUACCCGAUAUCCCUCCCCUUCCAGAGUUCCUCCUCCAUUUUCCCUCCUACCCCUGACAGGGCAACCCCCCUUCCUCAGUUCCUCCCCACCACCCUGGUGUAUCAAGUCUCUGCAGGAUUAGACACAUCCUCUUCCGCAGAGGCCAGAUAUGGCAGCCCUCUGCUACUUAUGUGCCAGGGGCCUCCGACCAGCC